UGGUGCCAGCAGCCGCGGUAAUUCCAGCUCCAAUAGCGUAUAUUAAAGUUGUUGCAGUUAAAAAGCUCGUAGUUGAAUUUCGGGGUUAGUAGGUUGGUCAUGCCUCUGGUAUGUACUGGUCUCACUGAUUCCUCCUUCCUGAUGAACCGUAAUGCCAUUAAUUUGGUGUUGCGGGGAAUUUGGACUGUUACUUUGAAAAAAUUAGAGUGUUUAAAGCAAGCUAACGCUUGAAUACAUUAGCAUGGAAUAAUGAAAUAGGACGUUCGAUCUUAUUUUGUUGGUUUCUAGGAUUGACGUAAUGAUUAAUAGGGAUAGUUGGGGGCAUUAGUAUUCAAUUGUCAGAGGUGAAAUUCUUGGAUUUAUUGAAGACUAACUACUGCGAAAGCAUUUGCCAAGGAUGUUUUCAUUAAUCAAGAACGAAAGUUAGGGGAUCGAAGACGAUCAGAUACCGUCGUAGUCUUAACCAUAAACUAUGCCGACUAGGGA
rnacentral:rRNA from 1 species